UGGACUGAUGAUGACUACUGGCGGAGUAUGAGUUGUACACGAUGACAACGGGUCUGGAACUCUGAAGUCCUU
rnacentral:snoRNA from 1 species